rnacentral:tRNA from 1 species
GUCCUCGUAGCUCAGUCGGAUAGAGCAGUGGUUUCCUAAACCGAAGGUCGGAGGUUCAAAUCCUCCCGGGGACG